rnacentral:ncRNA from 1 species
AAACGUCUUCAGGGCGGGGUGCAAUUCCCCACCGGCGGUAGGUGCGCAAGCACGAGCCCGCGAGCGCCCCGGCCUUGCCGUCGGGGGUCAGCAGAUCCGGUCCAAUGCCGGAGCCGACGGUCAUAGUCCGGAUGAAAGAAGACGGUG